GGGAUGAUAUGACUGAACACUGUACAGUAGAUGGUGAAGAUCAGGUAGAAUACAGGGACAUUGUUUCUAAAGUAUGUAAAGAAGCCAGAAACAUAUUUUCAGAAAUCAAUACAGCUGAAC